rnacentral:rRNA from 1 species
CGUGGAUAACCUGCCGUGCACAGGGGGAUAACACUUAGAAAUAGGUGCUAAUACCGCAUAAGCGCACAGUUUCGCAUGAGACAGUGUGAAAAGCCUGGAGGCGAUUCCGGGCGGUGCAUGAUGGAUCCGCGUCCGAUUAGCUAGUUGGCGGGGUAAAGGCCCACCAAGGCAGCGAUCGGUAGCCGGCCUGAGAGGGUGGACGGCCACAUUGGGACUGAGACACGGCCCAAACUCCUACGGAAGGCAGCAG